rnacentral:rRNA from 1 species
GCAUAUCAAUAAGCGGAGGAAAAGAAACCAACAGGGAUUGCCUCAGUAACGGCGAGUGAAGCGGCAACAGCUCAAAUUUGAAAUCUGGCGCAAGCCCGAGUUGUAAUUUGCAGAGGAUGUUUCGGGUGAAGCCACGGUCCAAGUCCCUUGGAACAGGACGUCAUAGAGGGUGAGAACCCCGUACCUGGCCGUCGGUGCCCCCCGCUGUGAAACUCCUUCGACGAGUCGAGUUGUUUGGGAAUGCAGCUCUAAAUUGGUGGUAAAUUCCAUCUAAAGCUAAAUACCGGCCAGAGACCGAUAGCGCACAAGUAGAGUGAUCGAAAGAUGAAAAGCACUUUGAAAAGAGAGUUAAAAAGUACGUGAAAUUGUUGAAAGGGAAGCGCUUGCGGCCAGACUUGCCCGCGGUUGCUCAGCCCGCCUUUUGGCGGGUGCACUCUUCCGCGGUCAGGCCAGCAUCGGUUUGGGCGGCCGGAUAAAGGCGCCGGGAACGUGGCCUCCCCUUGGGGAGGUGUUAUAGCCCGGCGUGCAAUGCGGCCAGCCCGGACCGAGGUUCGCGCUCUGCUAGGAUGCUGGCGUAAUGGCCGUAAGCGGCCCGUCUUGAAACACGGACCAAGGAGUCUAACAUCUAUGCGAGUGUUUGGGUGUCAAACCCGUGCGCGUAAUGAAAGUGAACGGAGGUGGGAACCGCAAGGUGCACCAUCGACCGAUCCUGAUGUCUUCGGAAGGAUUUGAGUAAGAGCAUAGCUGUUGGGACCCGAAAGAUGGUGAACUAUGCGUGAAUAGGGUGAAGCCAGAGGAAACUCUGGUGGAGGCUCGCAGCGGUUCUGACGUGCAAAUCGAUCGUCAAAUUUGCGUAUAGGGGCGAAAGA